rnacentral:rRNA from 1 species
AAAAACAUCUUUUCUUGUUAGUUUUUGAAAUCUGGCCUGCCCACUGACUUAUUUGUUGAAGGGCCGCGGUAUUUUGACCGUGCAAAGGUAGCAUAAUCAUUAGUUCUUUAAUUGUGAUCUGGUAUGAAUGGCUUGACGAGACAUGAGCUGUCUUAAGUGGUAUUGUUUAUUGAAUUUAGUUUUUGAGUUAAAAUUCUUAGAUGUUUUUAUGGGACGAGAAGACCCUAUAGAGUUUGACAUUUUUCUUAUCAUAAAUUAUUGUUUGUUUUUAUUUCUUAGUUAAGUGAAAUGUUUUGUUGGGGUGAUGGGAGGAAUAUUUUUAACUCCUCUUUAUUUUUGUAUAUUGAUUUAUAUUUCUUUGAUCC